CUGGAACGCGCCCCAGGCGCACCCAGAAACCCUUUGUGAACUUAUACCUUACUGUUGCCUCGGCGCAUGCCGGCCCCCCUGGGGGCCCCUCCUUCUGGAGGAGCAGGCACGCCGGCGGCCAACCUAACUCUUGUUUUUACACUGAAACUCUGAGAAUAAAACAUAAAUGAAUCAAAACUUUCAACAACGGAUCUCUUGGUUCUGGCAUCGAUGAAGAACGCAGCGAAAUGCGAUAAGUAAUGUGAAUUGCAGAAUUCAGUGAAUCAUCGAAUCUUUGAACGCACAUUGCGCCCUCUGGUAUUCCGGAGGGCAUGCCUGUUCGAGCGUCAUUUCAACCCUCAAGCCUGGCUUGGUGAUGGGGCACUGCUUCUUACCCGAGAAGCAGGCCCUGAAAUUCAGUGGCGAGCUCGCCAGGACCCCGAGCGCAGUAGUUAAACCCUCGCUCUGGAAGGCCCUGGCGGUGCCCUGCCGUUAAACCCCCAACUUCUGAAAAU
rnacentral:rRNA from 2 species